rnacentral:lncRNA from 1 species
AUGUCUCGAGUGAUGGGGUCCUUCUACCUCCCUCACCAGCAGCAGAUCCUGUUAUUGGAGAGGUCUCCCAGAGCAGAGCUACUGUUCCCCCCACACCAUGAGUCAGACAGGUCUCAGCAGUAGGGACAGCAGUCUGUGUGUGGCUGAAGGACCUCGACUGGAGCCUGGGGACAGCAUGAUAGACAGGCUGCUGGAAUCAGAUAUAUAGUGAUGGAGGGAGGGAGGCAGGUCUGCCAUGAGCUCCAUCAUCACUGCUC